rnacentral:tRNA from 1 species
GCCUCCGUAGCUCAAAGGAGAGAGCACCGGGUUUCUACCCCGAUGGUUGUGGGUUCGAGUCCUACCGGGGGCACCA